ensembl:snoRNA
CCUGCCCUAGACGCAUUGUGGGUGUGGCCACUGUGUCACAUGUGCCUCAGUAGGUGGCAGAGAGGAGAGAGGCUAUGCCUACCCUCAGUGUUCUGACCUAUGAACCUGAAGGAUUAGUAGCUUAACAUU